AUGCAGUCACGGGGGUUGGGGCAACCCAGCAACCGGCGAACGGGUGCGUAACACGCUAGCGACCUGCCCCGGAGCGGGGGAUAGCCGGCCCAACGGCCGGGUAAUACCGCAUACGACCCUUUGGUGGCAUCAUCGGGGGGUGAAACCUGCGGGGCUCUGGGAGGGGCUUGCGGCCUAUCAGCUAGUUGGCGGGGUCACGGCCCACCAAGGCGAUGACGGGUAGCUGGUCUGAGAGGAUGGCCAGCCACAUUGGGACUGAGAGACGGCCCAGACUCCUACGGGAGGCAGCAGUGGGGAAUCUUGCGCAAUGGCCGAAAGGCUGACGCAGCGACGCCGCGUGGAGGAUGACGCCCUUCGGGGUGUAAACUCCUGUUGCCCGGGACGAACGAGUGGUUUCGACCACUGUGACGGUACCGGGUGAGGAAGCACCGGCUAACUCUGUGCCAGCAGCCGCGGUAAUACAGAGGGUGCGAGCGUUGUCCGGAAUCACUGGGCGUAAAGGGCGCGUAGGCGGUGGGGUAAGCGUGUGGUGAAAGUCCGGGGCUCAACCCCGGAUCGGCCAUGCGAACUGCCCGACCGGAGCACGGUAGAGGCACAUGGAAUUCCGGGUGUAGCGGUGGAAUGCGUAGAGAUCCGGAAGAACACCGGUGGCGAAGGCGGUGUGCUGGGCCGUAGCUGACGCUGAGGCGCGACAGCGUGGGGAGCAAACAGGAUUAGAUACCCUGGUAGUCCACGCCGUAAACGAUGGGCACUAGGUCCUUGGGGGAGCGACCCCGUGAGGGCCGGCGCUAACGCAUUAAGUGCCCCGCCUGGGGAGUACGGCCGCAAGGCUGAAACUCAAAGGAAUUGACGGGGGCCCGCACAAGCGGUGGAGCAUGUGGUUUAAUUCGACGCAACGCGAAAAACCUUACCUAGGCUUGACAUGGCCGGGAAAGCCGGGGGGAACCUCGGCCCCUCUUCGGAGUCCGGUCACAGGUGCUGCAUGGCUGUCGUCAGCUCGUGUCGUGAGAUGUUGGGUUAAGUCCCGCAACGAGCGCAACCCUUGUCACUAGUUACCAGCGGGUAAAGCCGGGCACUCUAGUGAGACUGCCGGUGCCAAACCGGAGGAAGGUGGGGAUGACGUCAAGUCAUCAUGGUCCUUACGUCUAGGGCUACACACGUGCUACAAUGGGCGGGACAACGGGUCGCCAACCCGCAAGGGGGAACCAAUCCCACAAAUCCGCCCUCAGUUCGGAUUGUCGUCUGCAACUCGACGGCAUGAAGCUGGAAUCGCUAGUAAUCGCGGAUCAGCUACGCCGCGGUGAAUACGUUCCCGGGCCUUGUACACACCGCCCGUCACGCCAUGGAAGCGGCGAGUGCCCGAAGUCCGUGCCGGAACCUGGGCAACCAGGGCCAGCGC
rnacentral:rRNA from 1 species